AAUCCAAACCCUCAAUAUUAAAGAAAGAUACAAAGAAAUCAUAAAUAAAAAAUUUUCUUCAUUUAAAUUUUAUAUUUCAAACUAUUUCUGCCUUCAAAAUUAUUCCACAAGUAAAAUUCAGUUAAGUAGAUCUAAGUAUUACAUUUAAGUAGUGGAAAGCAGUAGUGUUUGUUUUUCCCCAAGCUUCUUAAACCAGAGAUUUUCAAUCAUUUUCUUAACAUAAUAAUUGGAAAAGCAUUCAUUUACUCUAUUUUUAAUUUAGCUAGUAAUGUGUUUCUGAUCUGAAGGGGUUAAUUCAAAAUAUAUAUUGAUUUUAUUAAGAAAGUCCCAAGACCACUGUAAGUUUUAGAAUCAGUCUAAGGAUUUGAUUUCAUAAGACUAUGAUUUUACAAAAUGAAAGUAAAAUAUUUCUAUAACUUUUUAAAAUUUAGUAUUGUUUCAAAAUCUGAUUUUUGGUAAUAAAGCUUCAAGGCAAAAAUUGCAGUUACAGCAUCGAAUAGCAGAGGGAUAUCUCAGUCAGUCUUGCUUAUUAUGCCAGCAGAGAGGUGAAUUUCAUCCAAAAAUCUCUGUAAAAUCCAGUCAUAGGGUGGAUCUGGGCCAUAACUUUGCUAGGACCUUGUCAAACUACAUAUUCUGUGGUUUUUACAUUCCUACAGGACAUCCCACACAUACUGGGUUUUUUCUAGUUUUCCCAGGAGAAGCUGCACCAUUGCACUGUGGUUCUCAACUAGAAAACCAGAAUCCAGCACCUGUCUUGGCACAGAGCUCCAGCCUGCUCACUGCCUCCUCCUGGGCAGAUUUUAGGGCAAGGACACAGCAUUGCUGGAUAUGUUGAAGGAUUUGCUGUAAGCUGGAACUGAUGUUCCCAGGGGCUGGACCAUAAAUGUAAACUCAAUGACCAGUUGAUGUGGCAGAAAAGGGGAAAAAAAAAAAAAAAAAAAGGUGUUUCAAAGUCUGUCCUACUGUCAGACCUCACAGGAAUUUUAGAUUAAGUUUGCUGCCUGAAUUUUUGCUGGUAACAGGAGGGUACAGUAUCAGGCAGUUUUACAAGUGUGGCUGAUGUGCUGAAAUAUUAAAAAGAUUUUUUUUUUUCCUUGUACUUUUGACCUGUGAGACAUGAAGCUCUGAGAAUUAAAGCAGCAAUGCAGUUUAGGUUUCAGUUGUGAGAAAUGGAGAAUUCUUCACGUGACAACCGCUGGGUUAAGUGUUUGUUCAAAACCAAAACCAACCCAUGAGUAACAUAGGCAGCUAAAUUGCACCAUCUGGAGCAAGAGGCAGAUGUAAGCAUCUUUAUUUAAGAAUCAAUUUCUUGCUGUUUAUGAAAGAUGUGUGGAAUUAAUUCAGUCCUUUUUUUGUCGGUAGCAUCAUUCACAGGAAACAGCUUUGUGUAAACAUCUGGAAUAUAAAUUCCUUAGCCAUUUUAGGUAAUAAAUCCAGAAUAACUGUUAAGCAUUAAUAGGCAGGAUUGCUUAAGGACUUCAGACUACUCGACAGGCUGGACAAAGCACAGGCAGAUGCUUUAAACAGACCAGAAGGAAGGCUGAUAAUUAUAAGCAGAGCAGGGAAGUGACCUUUUAUUGUGGCAGGAACUGGAAGCAUCACCAUACACCUCAACACAACACAAGGCACAAAUUAGACAGAACUGUCCACAACACCUAGACAAUCUUGUUUUCCAUCUGGUGCUCUGGGCCUUCCAGGUCUAAGCUGGGCAUUCAGAAGGUGAGGCACAUAAAAUUAUCAGUCAUCUUCUAAAUUUUACAGAGAAAGUGGUAUUUUCAUAAGAAUGCAGCCAUUUUGUUUUCACAAUACUAAUUGGUUGUCAAUGAUUAAUGAAAUGGUAAUUGGUUUUGCUACUGAAAAUUAGAGGGCUCGAUUCACAAAAUUAUUUUAUUCAUUCAGUGUUUACAGAUGGAAGGAAAGGGGCAUAUGGAAAAUAAUUUAUAGGUGAUCCUCAGAAACUUUUUAAGCUUCAUCUAAGUUCGUUCAAAGUGAAUAUAUAAAUAUAAAGAUAAAAUAAGGCAGUAAUCUAUGUACAUUCAGGCAGAAACAGACUAUGAUUUAGAGCCUCUUAGGAUAAAAAAUAAUGAAUGAAUAAGACUGAUUAAUUAAAACUUAACAUUAAGUUGUGCUCUUUUAUAAAGGUCCAUCUAGUUCAGUCCAAUUUUUUUCCAGAUGGAAGGCAUGCAUAGGAUAAAUUAUGCUCACAGAAAGAAAGAAAGAACUUCAGUGAGACCAAGGCAACCACUAAUAAAGCAACCAUUAGCACAUUUAUAGAGCUUGGAGAGGGGAAGAUCUAUGGAAAGAAAGUACUUUAAAGAAGCUGUCCACCAAAGAAACAUAGAAAAGUUUAGAUUUUGAAUAUAUGGCUAUUUUCUCACAUUGAGAACUCUGAUUUAGUUCCAGAUAUGUUUUAUGGACUGUAUAAUUAAAAUGUGUGCCUAAAUGCAAAUGUGCAUUAUACUACUUAUAUGGAGAAAUUUACCAGCUUAAGUCUUGUGAUGUGAGUUGAUACACCCAGAAAGGCCAAAAUUAUUUGUUCUUCAGUGGAUCUUUGUCUCCAGUAAAUAGAGAGUCACCAUCAGGAAGCUGGAUUUAUGAGAGACUCUAAAAACCAGGCCCUGGUAAUUCUGCUUGGCGAAAUUUAAUUUAGAUUUAAUUAGAGAUGGACUGGAGUCAGGAUAAUGGCUUCAAGAAGCUGUUGUUAAUCCUGCAGGGAUAAAAGUUACCUCUGUUUGAUUUGACCUCCCGUUUGAGAGUGACCCAUGAAAAUUUGACUUUUAGGUUAGGUGUCUGUAGCCACCAUGGACUCUCAAACCAGUGUCUGGGACAGAAUUAGUGCCCCUGUCAGCAAGGUGACAGACACCUGUGCAUGUGUGACAAAUUCUAUUUGUCACAGUUCCUAUUGGUGACCUAUCAGCACCAACACUGCUUAUAAAAACCCUGUCUGGGCUUAUUUGUCAUGGGUAGGGAAGGCAACUGCAGGCACAUAGGAUUCCUCUUGCUCACAGCCCUUGCCCAGCUCCUCUCUUCCCUAGAGCAAGUGCUCCCAUCCUCCCUGGUCCUGUCACUGUGCUUCUAACCACAGCCAGGUCUUUUAUUUUUGUUUUAUAAUGAUUAAAUAUAAUUUUUAAUGACUAAAAUAUUAUUUCUUUAAAGGUAUCAUGCUUUAAAAAAACAUCCAUGCAUUUACCUAUGGUAAGAAAAAAAAGUUAAAAUUCCUAUCGUGACUCAAAAGCAAUAAAAAUCCGGGAGAAAAAAACCCACCAUCAACAGGUUUAAGAUGGUGGCUCAAUAUUCUCAAAACGUCUUCAGAAUAUUUUAACUUUAAUUAGUAUUUUUGAAAACAGAAGUUGUCCAGUAUGGCGUAACUUCCUUUUCGGUUGAAAAAAUUAAACUGUUUUUUGCCCUAUGCUUUGACACAGCAUUGUCUGGCGAUCUGAGAAUCCUGUAAUGGCACCGAGCAGCUCAGGAAUGACUGAGGAGCACCUCCACUCCCAAUACUAUUUUCCUGUCACACAGUGAUGCCAGAACUUUUAAAAGGAUUGUUCUUGCAGCGUUGUUUCUUUCAGGCAUCGGGAUAUCUGUAGGUUGCUGGUCGACGGUUGCUUCCUCGAUUGUGAUUAUACCUUUUUCAUUACAUUUAAAAGCUUUGCUACAGAUGAGUAGCAUAUGGUAUUGGCUAAGGAGAUGAGCCUUUAAUGAGAUAUAGAACACACCAACAAAAUGCUUGCUAAAUUGCAAUGACACGCUUGUGCUGGUAGCAUGUGAUGUUGGGAAAUUAAAUUCUUGACAAGACAACACAAACGCACUUCAGCGGGAGUGUAGUCACCCAACUUGUUCUCAAGUUGGUCCAGAAGACAGGGCAAGUGGGAAGCUGCUGGGAGGGAGGCGGGAUUGUGUUCUCUCCUUGUUCUGUGGCGCAAUUUCACAAAAGUAAUUUUGCCUUUUUGCUCUGAUUUUGCACAAGGAUAUAACAAGACAGGGCAUUGCUUUCUUGAGGAGGUAAAGUGGUAAGAACGACUGCUGAUGCAGAAGGGCCUUCCAAAAAUUGUUGCAUCUGUCUUACACACACAGAAUUUCAAACAGCUAAACAAUAAAAACAACCACCACCAACAGACUAUGAGCGAUAUGUGACUUGCUGUAACCUGGAGCCAUGCACACUAUUUAAUUAGCACCAUUGAAAAUUUUCAGUCUGGGAAUACAAAACCCAGUCUUCUAUUCAGCUCAAGGAGUGGCUGUUGAGCCUGCAGAAGGAAAGAGAUAGCAGUACCCCUGAGUACCUCUGACACUUUGACUUUCAUGCCUGGACUCCCAAAUCACCCAUUUUUUUGUAAGGAAGAGUAAAAGUAAUAACACUAAUAAUAUUGUUGUGAGUAGUUCACAAGGUUUGAAAGGGUUUGGUAACAUCAUUACCCUGUCAUGGGAGAGAUUAAAGAAAUUAAAUGUUAGAUUCCUAGCCAAGGAAUUCAGAUCCAACAGAUAUAACCUAGGCUGGCACCAUUUGAUGGGUAAAAUGAAGCUAUAACUGCUCUAUUAAGACUGCUCCUCUUGGGUCCUUCUAACACUCUCUAAGCUUCUUCUUGCCCUCCCCAAAAUGCAGAGAAACACAUGUCAGAAAAGUAAAGCAUGUAAACAUCUCCUUUUCCUUCCUGUAAAAGCAACCAGCUAAUUAAAAAUAGCAGCUUUCAUCCACUCAGCCUUCCCAAGGCAACCGGAGUGUCGUGGUGCAAAUGUAUUUUUAAGAAAAAAUUUACGUUUUAUUUCUUUAUGAAGAGUUUUUUCAUGUUUGUUUCACCUUACCAAGGUUUGGAAAGCUAAAUAUAAAGAAUGCUUGCAGUGCAAGUUAUUGAGAAAUUGCAUUUUUCAGGUACAAGAAUUUUCUAGGAAAUACCCCUCGAUUUGAACUAGAGAUAAUCUCUGAACUGUUCGAUCAUAUGUGAGCUUUAAGGAAAUCCAGAUCUCUUCGUGAACUUCGUGGGUUGUCUAUCUGUUGUAGAUUUUAAACUAAAAUCUAAUCCUGGAGGAAAAUUUGCCUGUUUAGAACAGGUCUGAACCAGAGCAGAUCAUUACAAUCCCAGUUCUAGCAUGCUAUAGGGGAAAAAAUUAAAAAUCUAAAGAAUAGCUGUGGCAUCAUCCAUAACAUACCUCUAAGAUACAUGAACUGUAGGUGAGUACAGAUGUUCUUAAGAUAGAUUUAAAGUAGGUUACCCUGGGAAUUCAGCUUCAGGAGCUGAACAUAGCUAUCUCUGGUUAUCAAACCAGACGCCAAAGUGAGUUUUGCACCGCGCUGAUCUUCAUGGUGCCUUCAGCAGUCACUCAGCAGUAGCUACCUGAGUUAAUUCAAAACCAUCUUCAAUAUGUCACAUGGUGGCCAUGUAAACAUAUAUGUGGACUGUGCUGUGUCUUUUGCUACUGAUGUACUCUGUCAGCUGCUUUUCAAAAGAUAGAAAUCUCUGUCUUAAUGCUCCCAGCAGAAAGCAUUUUCUUGUACUUUGCAGAGCAAAAGGAUAAUGAUAACGUCUUCUUACAGUAGUCACGGAGCAAAAGGGAAAAUCAGUUUAUAUUGCAGCCAGGAUGUUCAAGGUACGCUUUGGUUUUCUUGAUUUUGUUGAGAGCAGCAAGCUGGAUUAGCACACGAUGGGCACCCUGGGCCUCUGAGCUUUGUGUGUUUACCAAGCAAUCCGAGCACACUUUCCAUUCCAAGGCUCCACCUCGCACCUGUGCUGCCAUGGGAAGGCCAGGUGAGAAGCAGGGUAGGUAAUCUGAGCCCCAGGGGCUGCUGAAUCGAGAUUACCCUCAACCCAGCUCAUGUUAGCUCCCAGUGGAGAGGUGAGGCUUAGAGAAUACCCUUGCUAUUCCCUGUAUGUGAGUUGUUUUAAGAAUUCCUUUGGACUUGUGGUGCCCACAGUAUGUGCAUUUGCUUUUGGCAGGGAGCUGUUAGGAUCGAUAAAGAUUUGUGGAGACUUGCUGUUUCUAUGCCAGCUAGUUUCUACAAAUUAUUAUUUUCCCAUCUUAAGGGAAAAAAAAAAAAGCGUCUUUGAAAUCAUUCGGAGACCGAGGAUCUGAGCCGAGGCCUGUGUGGAUCUGACAGUGUGGGAAGAUGACUGGAGAGAGAACUGAAAUAUCCAGCUUGGCAAUUUUAUUCCUACUUCCUCCCUUGUACUCCCUAUUCACAUUUUUCCCUGCUGGCACACCCUUAUUUAUCUCUUACCUUGAGCCAAAGAUAUUGUGCUAUUCUGAGAGAUAUUUUCUGAAGGAGCUCCAGCGUCUCCUUGGGAUGAUGGUAAAAAGAUUCUUUUGUUCACUUGGUUAAGCACGAAGCAUCAUCUGUUUCUUCCUAAUAGGUUUUUUCUUCUAGCUAAAUGUCUUUUAACAAUUGGAAUUAGAAACAAAUUAUAUUCAGCUAUUCAGACCUUGCAAAGAAAGGCUUAUGCCUUUGUCUUUUUUCCCUGUCUGAAAGCAGGCUAAAGGACAAAUGCUGCUCUGUGCCCACUGCUCUCAAGUAUAUGAAUGGUAAUUCUAUAUAUAUAUAUUAUGCAUAUUUUUUCAAUAUCCACUGUAAUCUGCAUAAUACACAUAUGUACAUCAAGUUUGCAGAUGUUCCAGUGAUACCAAGACAGUAAAGUAUGUGGUGACAGGCUUUUUCACUCCAUUUAGCCAUUGCGUUGCAUGAAGUGAAAGGUUGUAUAUCUGGGUGAUUUUUUCAAUAGUGAAAAAUACCUCUUCAAUUAUUUUCUCACUGUCUUUAGCGGGGGUAUUAUCAUCAGUAAAAAUCCUCACAUGCUUUUUUCGUGCAUCUAUAUUAUGGAAACAUGAUUAUCCAUGAAUGUGGUACCUGGACAGCAAUGUACUUGGAAGCUAAUUUUGCUUUUUAUUGCAGAGAAACGCAAAGAAGAACAAAACUUUGGGGAAGAAAGUUUCCCUUAUUAAAUAUUUACCAUUUCAGCUCCAGAUUCAGGAAAGCCCAGGGUGCAAACUGUGCCCCUGCAGCCCGCUGAGGUCCACGGGGGAGCAGAGAUCCACCUGCAGCCUGUGAAGGACCCCACCUUGGAGCAGGAGGGUGCCUGGAGGAGACUGUGACUCCAUGGGAAACCCACACUGGAGCAGGCUCCUGGCAGGGGCCUGUGGAGAGAGGAGCCCACACUGGAGCAGGUUUGCUGGCAGGACUUGUGACCCUGCAGGGGACCCACGCUGGAGCAGCUUAUUCCUGAAGGAUUGCACCCCAUGGGAAGGACCCACACUGGAACAGUUCAUGAAGAACUGUGGCCCAUGGGAAGGAUUCACAUUGGAGAAGCUUGGGGAGGACUGUUUCCUGUGGGAGGGACCCCACACUGGAGCAGGGGGAGAGUGUGAGGAGUCCUCCCCACAGGGAGAAAGGAGUGGAAGAGACAAGGUGUGAUGAACUGCCUUCAGCCCCCAUUCCCCAUCCACCUGCACCACUGGGGAGAAGGAGGUGGAGAAAAUGAGAAUGAAAUUGAGCCUGGGAAGAGGGAGGGGUGGGGGGGAAUGUGUUUUAAGAUUAUUUCCUACUCUAAUUUGAUUGGCAAUAAAUCAAACCAAUUUCCCCAAGCUGAGUCUGUUUUGCCCCUGAUGGUAAUUGGUGAGUGAUCUCUCCCUGCCCUUAUCCCAACCCAUGAACUUUUAGUUAUACUUUCUCAUCCCUUCCCAGGAGGAGGGGAGUGAUAGAGCAGCUUUGGUGAGUACCUGCCAUCCAGCCAGGUCAACCCACAACAGACAUAUUGUUUGGGAAAUAUAAGGCACCAUUUUCCUGCAAAUGCCCGUUUUCUGACUCCGCUGUUUCUGUGCUUAAAAUUGGAACUUUGGAGACAAGAAUAUGAAUUGAUUUUGUGAAA